GAUGAACGCUGGCGGCGUGCCUAAUACAUGCAAGUCGAGCGAACAUUUGAGGACUUUGCUCCUCUGACUUUAGCCGCGGACGUGUGUAUAACGCGUGUAUACCCUAUCUAUGAGACUGGUAUAACUUGGAGAAACCGGAUCUAAUCCCGUAUCAUAUAUUGAACCACAGGGUUCAAUAAUGAAAUACGGUUUUGCUGUCACUUAUAGAUGGAUCCGCGCCGCAUUAGCUAGUUGGUAAGGUAACGGCUUACCAAGGCAACGAUGCGUAGCCGACCUGAGAGGGUGAUCGGCACAACGGGAACUGAGACACGGUCAAGACUCCUACGGGAGGAAGAAGUGGGGAAUCUUCGGAAAUGGGGGAAAGCCUGACGGAGAAAGGCGGCGUGAGUGAUGAAGGUCUUCGGAUCGUAAGACCUUGUUAUUAGGGAGGAACAAAUGUGUAAGUAAAUAGGCACGUCUUGACGGUACCUAAUCAGAAAGCCACGGCUAACUACGUG
rnacentral:rRNA from 1 species